GCCUUCAUGAUGUAACGGUAGCACACUCGGCGCGUAUUCGAGAGGUCCAGGGUUCGAAUCCCGGCGAGGGCA
rnacentral:tRNA from 1 species